UACGUAGGGGGCAAGCGUUGUUCGGAUUCACUGGGCGUAAAGGGUGCGUAGGCGGUCGGGUAAGUCUGAUGUGAAAUCUCACAGCUUAACUGUGAAACUGCAUUGGAUACUAUCCGGCUAGAGGAAUGGAGGGGAGACUGGAAUACUUGGUGUAGCAGUGAAAUGCGUAGAUAUCAAGUGGAACACCAGUGGCGAAGGCGAGUCUCUGGACAUUUCCUGACGCUGAGGCACGAAAGCCAGGGGAGCAAACGGG
rnacentral:rRNA from 1 species